UACAGAGGUCCCAAGCGUUGUUCGGAUUCACUGGGCGUAAAGAGCGCGCAGGCGGUCGUUCAAGUCGCGUGUGAAAGCCCCCGGCUCAACUGGGGAGGGUCACGCGAUACUGAUCGACUCGAAGGCAGGAGAGGGUAGUGGAAUUCCCGGUGUAGUGGUGAAAUGCGUAGAUAUCGGGAGGAACACCAGUGACGAAGGCGACUACCUGGCCUGUUCUUGACGCUGAGGCGCGAAAGCUAGGGGAGCAAACGGG
rnacentral:rRNA from 1 species